rnacentral:rRNA from 1 species
AUUGAACGCUGGCGGCGUGCCUAACACAUGCAAGUCGAGCGGCAGCGGGCCCGCAAGGGUGCCGGCGAGCGGCGGACGGGUGAGCAAUACAUAGGAAUCUGCCUUAGAGCGGGGGAUAGCCAGGGGAACCCUGAUUAAUACCGCAUGAUGUCGAGAGACCAAAGUGGGGGAUCGUAAGACCUCACACUCUAAGAUGAGCCUAUGUCGGAUUAGCUAGNGGCGGGGUAACGGCCCACCAAGGCGACGAUCCGUAGCUGGUCUGAGAGGACGAUCAGCCACACCGGAACUGAGACACGGUCCGGACUCCUACGGGAGGCAGCAGUGGGGAAUAUUGGACAAUGGGCGAAAGCCUGAUCCAGCGACGCCGCGGU